AAUUUAUGCAAGAGAAGCAAGGGAGCGGGGAGGUAGCUUCAGUUUCUUUGUUUUUGUUAAUUUAGGGCAAUGGCUUUAGUAGAAUAAAUAAUGGCGAGAAGAAUUGUCAAGUGUAUAGCAUUAGUACUUGAGGAGAUUCAUUGAUAAUAAAGAGAACAUGGAGGAGAAAGAAACCAAGUUGUUGCACAGCUUUGUUGCAUAAUAUUUAUUCAUUUGUAUCUCAGAAACAU
rnacentral:misc_RNA from 1 species